CUUGAUCGAGCCCAGCCUCAGCGGCCGAUCCUCGGGACGAUCCUGACCGUAGGUGGCAAGCAGCGCCUGAGCCUC
rnacentral:antisense_RNA from 16 species